GACGAACGCGGCGGCGUGCCUAAUACAUGCAAGUGGAACGCAUUGGUAACACCGGACUUGCUCCAGUGUUACUAUGAGUCGCGAACGGGUGAGUAACGCGUAGGUAACCUGCCUGAUAGCGGGGGAUAACUAUUGGAAACGAUAGCUAAUACCGCAUAAGAGGAGUUAACUCAUGUUAACUGUUUAAAAGAAGCAAUGGCUUCACUAUCAGAUGGACCUGCGUUGUAUUAGCUAGUAGGUAGGGUAACGGCCUACCUAGGCACCGAUACAUAGCCGACCUGAGAGGGUGAACGGCCACACUGGGACUGAGACACGGCCCAGACUCCUACGGGAGGCAGCAGUAGGGAAUCUUCGGCAAUGGACGCAAGUCUGACCGAGCAACGCCGCGUGAGUGAAGACGGUUUUCGGAUCGUAAAGCUCUGUUGUAGGGGAAGAACGUGUGUAAGAGUGGAAAGCUUACACAGUGA
rnacentral:rRNA from 1 species